UCGGACGUGGUGCAUGGUGCACCCCCGCUCUCCCUAAUUACAAAAGUACAAAAAGUUUAGUGGGAGCUCCGGGUUCGACUCCCGGCGUCUGAA